rnacentral:rRNA from 1 species
AUUGAACGCUGGCGGCGUGCUUAACACAUGCAAGUCGAGCGGUAACAGGCGUAGCAAUACGUGCUGACGAGCGGCGAACGGGUGCGUAAUACAUGGGAAUCUGCCCUUUGGUGGGGAAUAACCCGGCGAAAGCCGGGCUAAUGCCGCAUGAGAUCUUCGGAUGAAAGCGGGGGAUCGUAAGACCUCGCGCCGAUGGAUGAGCCCAUGUCGGAUUAGCUAGUUGGUGAGGUAACGGCUCACCAAGGCGACGAUCCGUAGCUGGUCUGAGAGGACGGCCAGCCACACUGGGACUGAGACACGGCCCAGACUCCUACGGGAGGCAGCAGUGGGGAAUAUUGGACAAUGGGCGAAAGCCUGAUCCAGCGACGCCGCGUGUGUGAAGAAGGCCUGCGGGUUGUAAAGCACUUUCGAUGGGAACGAAAUGUGCCGGGCUAAUACCCCGGCAAGCUGACGUUACUCAAUGAAGAAGCACCGGCUAACUCUGUGCCAGCCGCCGCAGUAAUAC